rnacentral:tRNA from 1 species
CGCGCUUGCGCGCACGCUAGUUGCACGGGAAACGAGCCGCCGCGGUUUCGGUGUUACCGUGCAGACAUGGCA